AGAGAGAGAGAGUUAUUCCAAAUGGAAAAGAAAGGAAAAAAAUGGAAGGCUUAUAAGUUGAUGGUGUAGUAAAUCAAAGUGGCUACAGGAUCAACUUAAGCUCAUUUUGCAAAUGUGGAAGAUGUCUCAGGCCCAACACUGCUCUCACCGCUAAAAUUACAGCAUAGUAUCAAGACCCCAGAGGCUUAACCACCGCAAAUUUUGGACCUGUAAAAAAUGAGUUGGGCUAGACAUGUAAGACCACUGCAAAAAGAGUGGACGUUUGGACCAAGUUGGAUGCGUAGGGCUGUACCGUAAAAAGAUGAGCUAGACAUUGAAAGGCUGAAUCCAAAUUGGAAAUGGUUUGAGGGUCAGAUUCACAACAGGCUGUAAAAAGUGAGCCAACCCAGUUACAUUUUAGGGGAGUGUUGAACAGUGGUAAAAAGAGAAAAAGAAUUAUAGUAAAAGAAAAAGAGAGAGAAAAAAAGAAAAAGAAAAAGAAUUAUUGCAAAUGAAAAAGAAAAAAAGAAAGAAAGAAACGGAUGGUUUAUAAGU
rnacentral:lncRNA from 1 species